rnacentral:misc_RNA from 1 species
AAGCUGGAGUUCAUUGAAAGCAUCAAGUCUGCAGAGGUAACGAAAAAUACUUGAACAUGGGCGCUUGGAAUUGGUUGGUGGUUCUGAAUAUUGUUAGGGGAGGUACAUAAUCGAUCAAGCAUAGUUGAAGACAUUUUUUUGGAGGAAUAAUUUUUUCUGUAAUGAGAUUCAUCACCUUAAACUGGUUUUCUAUAUUUGCAAAAAAUUUAUCUAUUUUCCAAACUGGUUGUUACGUUAAGAAACUAGAUUUUGCGCAUGCACUAUGUGCUUUUCUAUAUUUGAAUAAAUUUAACUAUUAUUUCCAUGGACAUGCCACUGAUGUAGUUGUUUCAUUAAGAAACUAGAUUUUUUGCUUGCCUUCUCGUGCAUGUAUGAGAAUGAAGUGGAGCAUCUCUAAGGUCAUCCGGCCCAUCAAGACUGGGAAUAUCACAAUCAAAUUGCUUCUGAAAUGCCAAGCAUUAAGCCCAGAAUUAUUAAUGUUGCUGCCAGGUACGUGAGGUGCAAAAUGAAGGUCCCACAGCAAGGUUCAAACUCUUCUUCUGCUGUUCUUGCCACGAGCACCAUCUGACAUGAUCAUCGAGAAAGCAUGCUCCCAGUUAAAGAGCUGACUUGGUCUUCUCAGUGGCUUACAAGGAAUGACUGCCAAACAUGUCAUUUCGGUGGUAGGAAUGGGAGGGGUGGAAAAAACACCCUUACAAAGAAAGUCUUUGACAGUACCCUUUCAGCAACCAUGCUUGGUAUUGGAUUACUGUUUUCAGUCAUUCAAGGUCGAGGAACUCUUGAAGGCUGCAAUCCGUGAACUUUUCGUUCAAGGGAAGCAACCUCAAGAAAAGGAAAACUCUCUAGUGAUGAUUU